rnacentral:rRNA from 1 species
AACGAACGCUGGCGGCAUGCCUAACACAUGCAAGUCGAACGAGACCUUCGGGUCUAGUGGCGCACGGGUGCGUAACGCGUGGGAACCUGCCUUUAGGUUCGGAAUAACUCAGAGAAAUUUGAGCUAAUACCGGAUGAUGUCUUCGGACCAAAGAUUUAUCGCCUUUAGAUGGGCCCGCGUUGGAUUAGCUAGUUGGUGGGGUAAAGGCCUACCAAGGCGACGAUCCAUAGCUGGUCUGAGAGGAUGAUCAGCCACACUGGGACUGAGACACGGCCCAGACUCCUACGGGAAGCAGCAGUGGGGAAUAUUGGACAAUGGGCGAAAGCCUGAUCCAGCAAUGCCGCGUGAGUGAUGAAGACCUUAGGGUUGUAAAGCUCUUUUACCCGAGAUGAUAAUGACAGUAUCGGGAGAAUAAGCUCCGGCUAACUCCGUG